rnacentral:rRNA from 1 species
UACAGAGGUGGCAAGCGUUGUUCGGAAUUACUGGGCGUAAAGCGCACGUAGGCGGAUAUUUAAGUCAGGGGUGAAAUCCCAGAGCUCAACUCUGGAACUGCCUUUGAUACUGGGUAUCUUGAGUAUGGAAGAGGUAAGUGGAAUUGCGAGUGUAGAGGUGAAAUUCGUAGAUAUUCGCAGGAACACCAGUGGCGAAGGCGGCUUACUGGUCCAUAACUGACGCUGAGGUGCGAAAGCGUGGGGAGCAAACAGG